ACGGGAGGCAGCAGUGGGGAAUAUUGCACAAUGGAGGAAACUCUGAUGCAGCGACGCCGCGUGAGCGAAGAAGUAUUUCGGUAUGUAAAGCUCUAUCAGCAGGGAAGAAAAUGACGGUACCUGACUAAGAAGCCCCGGCUAACUACGUGCCAGCAGCCGCGGUAAUACGUAGGGGGCAAGCGUUAUCCGGAUUUACUGGGUGUAAAGGGAGCGCAGACGGUCUGGCAAGUCAGAUGUGAAAGGCAGGGGCUUAACUCCUGGACUGCAUUUGAAACUGUCCGACUUGAGUGCCGGAGAGGUAAGCGGAAUUCCUAGUGUAGCGGUGAAAUGCGUAGAUAUUAGGAGGAACACCAGUGGCGAAGGCGGCUUACUGGACGGUAACUGACGUUCAUGCUCGAAAGCGUGGGGAGCAAACAGGAUUAGAUACCCUGGUA
rnacentral:rRNA from 2 species